rnacentral:rRNA from 1 species
CCAAAAGCUGGCGACCGGCGCACGGGUGAGUAACACGUAUCCAACCUGCCUCAUACUCGGGGAUAGCCUUUCGAAAGAAAGAUUAAUAUCCGAUAGCAUAUAUUUCCCGCAUGGGUUUUAUAUUAAAGAAAUUCGGUAUGAGAUGGGGAUGCGUUCCAUUAGUUUGUUGGGGGGGUAACGGCCCACCAAGACUACGAUGGAUAGGGGUUCUGAGAGGAAGGUCCCCCACAUUGGAACUGAGACACGGUCCAA